GACGAACGCUGGCGGCGUGCUUAACACAUGCAAGUCGAACGGAAAGGCCCUGCUUUUGUGGGGUGCUCGAGUGGCGAACGGGUGAGUAACACGUGAGUAACCUGCCCUUGACUUUGGGAUAACUUCAGGAAACUGGGGCUAAUACCGGAUAGGAGCUCCUGCUGCAUGGUGGGGGUUGGAAAGUUUCGGCGGUUGGGGAUGGACUCGCGGCUUAUCAGCUUGUUGGUGGGGUAGUGGCUUACCAAGGCUUUGACGGGUAGCCGGCCUGAGAGGGUGACCGGCCACAUUGGGACUGAGAGACGGCCCAGACUCCUACGGGAGGCAGCAGUGGGGAAUAUUGCACAAUGGGCGGAAGCCUGAUGCAACAACGCCGCGUGCGGGAUGACGGCCUUCGGGUUGUAAACCGCUUUCGCCUGUGACGAAGCGUGAGUGACGGUAAUGGGUAAAGAAGCACCGGCUAACUACGUG
rnacentral:rRNA from 1 species